AGUCAUAUGCAAAAGCUCGAUUCUUGUCGACUUGAAAAAACGCUACUUCUAGUUCUACUCAGCAGUUAGGAUCAAUGGAAACUUCUAAAAAGAUCGAUGUUCUUGAAAAGCUCGUCCUUUCAGCAAGAGAACGCUGCUAAAUGAUUUCUGGUGAAUUGUCUAACUUGAGACAACACUGUGUUAAAAUAAUCAACGAGGAAAGGCUUCGUCGUAUGAAUUUUACUGGCGAUAUUAUGCUACGAACUUGUUCAUUUUCAAAACUGCAGUUCCCUGAAAGCCAAAUUGAAAGAUCAGGACCCAAUGUCCCUGUUAGAGGAGCACCUUUGAACAUUGCUUUUAUUAAUCUUGCCAUCUUUACCAUUGUUGGAUAAACAUCUUUGUCGCUGUUGGAAGAAGAUCACAUUUGAACAUUGUUUUUAUUAAUCUUGCCAACUUUACGAUUAUUGGAUAAACAUCUAUGCUGUUGUUGGAA